rnacentral:tRNA from 1 species
GCCGCUGUGGUGAAAUUGGUAGACACACGGGACUCAAAAUGCCGCGAUAGCAAUAUUGUGAGAGUUCAAGUCUCUCCGGCGGCACCA